GCAUGGGUUUGGAUUUAUGGCAGGUCCAUCCCCCUUGGGCUUCUCAUAGUGUCCUAUGCCACAGUAAACAGUGGCCCUGAACCAUUCAUUACCUGGCCCUUGCCAGUGGGUCCUGGGCACUGAAGUGGGUCACACAAUG